GUUCAUUUCUGAACAUAUACUAAAAUUGGAACAAUACGGAAAAGAUUAACAUGGCCGCUGCACGCGACGACACCUAAAUUCACCCAACGUACAUUU
rnacentral:snRNA from 1 species